rnacentral:SRP_RNA from 2 species
GCUGGGUGUGGUGGCACACGCCUAUAGUCCCAGCUACUCGGGAGGCUGAGGCAGAAGAAUCACUUGAACCCAGGAGGGCGGAGGUUGCAGUGAGCCGAGAUGGUGCCACUGCACUCCAGCCUGGGUGACAGAGUGAGACUCUGUCUCAA